GGCCAGCAGCCGCGGUAAUACGGAGGGUGCGAGCGUUGUCCGGAAUCACUGGGCGUAAAGGGCGCGUAGGCGGCCCGGCAAGUCAACGGUGAAAGCUUGGGGCUCAACCCCGAGUCGGCCGUCGAUACUUCCGGGCUCGAGCACUGUAGAGGCAGGUGGAAUUCCGGGUGUAGCGGUGGAAUGCGUAGAGAUCCGGAAGAACACCGGUGGCGAAGGCGGCCUGCUGGGCAGUAGCUGACGCUGAGGCGCGACAGCGUGGGGAGCAAACAGGAUUAGAUACCCUGGUAGUCCACGCCGUAAACGAUGGGCACUAGGUGCUUGGGGGAGCGACCCCCUGAGUGCCGGCGCUAACGCAUUAAGUGCCCCGCCUGGGGAGUACGGCCGCAAGGCUGAAACUCAAAGGAAUUGACGGGGGCCCGCACAAGG
rnacentral:rRNA from 1 species